CACGGCAGGAUCAUAGAUGGUAAUGGUAAUGGACCCUUCUCUGUUUUGCCCAGUGUGCUCCUUUGCUGUGUCAUUCCUUCGGCAAGAGCUUACGUAUCUGAACAAAGAUCCUGAGAUGGAUGUGUCCAGACUUGGAAACACUCUUGUGAAUUGGGCAGGUUGGAAGCUCUUGGGACCUCAGUUAUUGCUGGCUAUGCUAUGGAAGGAAUCCCUAACAGCUCUUCCAAUGUUCCUUGGAGAAGAUGACUACUGGGAGAAGGAUGGACUUAUUUCUUGGUUUGGCUUGCCAGAAAAUGUGGAUGCACCUUGAAAGAGUGAUUUAGAAAAUACAGAGCAAAGAUGAGGGUUAAAUGCCAAUUCAGCAGUCCAACAGAGUACUUUGUUUUGCUAUUUAAGCAUCAACUCCUGGGAGACUAUGACAGUAGUUGUAGGUAAUUAUUGCUACUUUUAAAAGUCUUUGCUAAUGCAUGCUUCUAAGUCUCUUGUGUGUUAAGCAUUUCUUUUAUGUGGAAGAAAUAAAUAAGUGUCCUAUAA